rnacentral:rRNA from 1 species
AGCCUGAUGCAGCCAUGCCGCGUGUGUGAAGAAGGCCUUCGGGUUGUAAAGCACUUUCAGUAGGGAGGAAGGUAGUGUCGUUAAUAGCGGCAUUAUUUGACGUUACCUACAGAAGAAGCACCGGCUAACUCCGUGCCAGCAGCCGCGGUAAUACGGAGGGUGCGAGCGUUAAUCGGAAUUACUGGGCGUAAAGCGCAUGCAGGUGGUUUGUUAAGUCAGAUGUGAAAGCCCGGGGCUCAACCUCGGAAUUGCAUUUGAAACUGGCAGACUAGAGUACUGUAGAGGGGGGUAGAAUUUCAGGUGUAGCGGUGAAAUGCGUAGAGAUCUGAAGGAAUACCGGUGGCGAAGGCGGCCCCCUGGACAGAUACUGACACUCAGAUGCGAAAGCGUGGGGAGCAAACAGGAUUAGAUACCCUGGUAGUCCACGCCGUAAACGAUGUCUACUUGGAGGUUGUGGCCUUGAGCCGUGGCUUUCGGAGCUAACGCGUUAAGUAGACCGCCUGGG